GUUGUUUUUGCUCAAAAAUCCGGUACGUUUUGGUGUUGAUGUGAUGAUUCGCGGUGGUUUUGAGUGAAUCCGGUUCGGAUUUGUUGAUUUUGUAGUGAUUGGAGUUGAUUCUGAGCAGAUCCGGUUUUGAUCUGUUGAUUUUGGUGAUGAUGUGUUCUUGGUGUUCUUCCUCUUUUUUCUGAGAUUUUUCUGUUUUGAUUCUGUUAUGGAUGAGAGAGAGAAAAAGAUUCUGUUUGAGACUGAUUGUGAUUGAUUCUGAUUUUUUCUGACUGAUUGUGAUGGAUCUGACACAUUUACUAUUUAUGGCCUGCCAUGUGUAUUAGAGACCCAAUGGAAAAUUGACACCUGGACUGUUUUGGACUUAAGGACUAAUCUGCAAAAAAGUUAAUAUGAGGACUAAUCUGCAAUAAAAAAAAAGACUAAAAAAAAUGCAAUUAAAAAAAUAAAAUUGGACUAAAAAGUAAAUUUGACGCAACGUAAAGCGAAACCAAAAAUAAAAUUAACAAAAGGAC
rnacentral:lncRNA from 1 species